GUUUUACUGGAUCUCGAGGAAGGAAAGGUACACCUGGUCCAAAGGUAUCGUAUGAAUAAGCCUAAUUUUUCCAUCUUGCUAAACUGCACAAUCUCUUUUUGUAUGUUUACUUGAUGGGAUUUUGUAAAUUUACAGGGAAUACGUGGAGACCCUGGAUUGCCUGGGCGAGAGGGGAAUCCUGGUAUAGAGGUAAAUGGGGUGUGAAAUUAUGAAGUAACCAGUAUUUUGUUUAUGUAAUCUUAAAACCGAACCUCUUUGUCUUAAUUGCUGCAUUUUCUUUAGGCCUAUCAAGGAUCUCAAGGGCCAGAGGGUGGUCAAGGUACUUUGGGUUUAAAGGGUGAUACUGGUUCAAAAGGGAUUGCAGGAAUUCCUGGUAGGCCUGGCUUCGCUGGUCCCCCUGGAGCUACUGUAAGUUUCAUUGUUAGUAACCAUGGCCGUGAUUUACCACCCACUGAAACUGAUGGGAGUCUUUCCAUUGACUUGAAUGGGCAGUGGAUU
ensembl:lncRNA